rnacentral:lncRNA from 1 species
GUCAGGAUCCCUGGCGCCGCCUGAGCCAGCGGCUGCUAGGAGGCUGUGUCCGCAAGCCAGCGGGGCGAGGCACCUGGGGCCUGCGCGUCAGGUCCCGGCCUGGGGCACCGGGGCUGCCAGCGUCGGAGGAGGUGCGGGCGCGGGGUUGGCGGGCGGCCUAACGGGGGCCUGCGCGGACCGCCCGUGGCGCAGCCUCGGGUCUCUCUCCAUCUCUAAGUGGUGGUGGCUGUGGGUUUUUCUGCAGGCCUGAGACCUGGGAGGAAGCUGGAGAAAAGAUGCCCUCUGAAUCUUUGUGUUUGGCUGCCCAGGCUCGCCUUGACACCGAAUGGUUGAAAACAGAUAUACAGAUGAUAGUGUCGAACCAAGUGAAACAAAGAAAGAAGAUCUGAAUGACAAAGAGAAAAAAGAUGAAGACGAAACUCCUGCACCUGUAUAUAGGGCCAAGUCAAUUCUGGAGACCUGGGCGUGGGGCAAGCAACCAGGUAAUCUUCUGAGUUUUGGCACUUUGGAAAGCUUGAUCUGACGCUCCUUUUCUAAAUAACUUGGAUGGAUUAUUUGUAUUUUUUGGUAACAAUUUUAAAAAAUGUAAUUAAAAAAAUUUAAAUAUUGUGGUAAAAUAUACAUACCGUAAAACUUGCCAUUUUAAUCAUUUUUAUGUGUACAGUUCAUUGGCAUUAAGUAUAUUCACAUUAUUGCCCAGCCGUCACCACCAUCCAUCUCUACAACUUUUGCCCUUUCUCCAACUGAAACUCCGUAUCCAUGAAACACUAACUCCUUCUGUCCCCAAGCAACCACCAUUCUACUUUUGUCUCAGAAUUUGACUACUCAAGGUGUCUCCUAUAAGGGGAAUCAUACAGUAUUUGUCCUUUUGUGACUGGGUUAUUGAACUUGUUAGGUGUUUGGGGUUCAUCCGCAUGUGUCAAAAUUUUCUUUUAAAGGCUCAAUGCUAUUCCAUUAUAUAUGUAAGCCACAUGUUAUCCCUUCAUCAGUGGGCAAUCAGGUUGCUUUCAUCUCUUGACUGUUGUGAGUAAUGCUGCUAUCAACAUUGGUUUACCAGUGUCUUGAGUGUCUGCUUUUAAUUCUUUGUGUCUAUACCUAGGAGUGGAAUUGGUCAAUAAUGUGGAAUGCUUACAUAUUUAUUUUUUUUGAGAUGGCAUCUCGCUCUGUCGCCCAGGCUGGAGUGCAGUGGCGCCAUCUCAGCUCACAGCAAGCUCCGCCUCUCGGGUUCACGCAAUUCUCCUGCCUCAGCUUCCUGAGUAGCUGGGACUACAGGCGCCCGCCACCAUGCCUGGCUAAUUUUUUUGUAUUUUUAGUAGAGUCUGGGUUUCACUGUGUUAGCCAUGAUGGUCUCCAUCUCCUGACCUCGUGAUCCACCCACCUCAGCCUCCCAAAUUGCUGGGAUUACAGGUGUGAGCCACCGCACCUGGCCAAUAAGGUGGUAGUUAGAUUUAUGUUUAACUUAUUAUUGUUGUUUUUGAGAUUGGGUCUCAC